AAGGUACAUCUUCAAGAAUGAGAAGAAGGUUGGUAUUCAAGAGCUCGGCCCUCGCUUCACUCUCAAACUCCGCUCUCUCCAGAAAGGCACCUUUGACUCAAAGUUUGGGGAGUAUGAGUGGGUCCUUAAGCGCCAUGAGAUGGAUGCCUGCAGAAGGAAAUUCCAGAUUUAAGUGCAAAAUAACAUCCAGCGCUUUGGGUCAGGAAAGGACGGCCGUGUAUAUUAUCCAAUAAAUUACUACCAUUUGUGACAAAUGGACUUUAUAGUGGAUAUCCGGUUCUUUGUGGACAACCAUUUACUUUGAUGUGCAGCUUUGAUCACUGGAUUUAAUGAGAUCACAUCAUGCUAGAUUCACACUUGUCCUGAAAGGGACCUUUACCGUAUAAAGCUGUGUCUGCAUACCAAGUGUGGGACAGCUGCCUGUUGUAAAGACUUUCACACAUUGGCAGACAACCAGAGGAUAAAUGCAGCCCUCCACAUGGACACAACCUGAACAAUUUGACCUGUGUGUGAAACUCAUUAAUGGAUCCUUUAAAUGUAUCUCGAAACAUAAUGAAAUGUGACCCAAAUUAAAUUCAGAAAAUGUGAGCCUUUCCUGGUCACAACCUGUAGUGCAUGCAGACAUACUGUUACGCCCUGUGUAAAUAACACAAUGAGCAGUGAAUUAAGUGAAACGGUGUCUGGAAAUUGGUAGAUGGUUCCAUAGAGAUUUGAAAAUAAGAUACAUUGAACACAUUUGCUGCAACUUAAAAUGUGGAAAAUACAUUUAUUUAUUCUCAAAAAUCAGUUAUGGAACGUUUUACAAUUCAAAAAGGCACGAUUUGGGUUAGUUAUUUCCAAGCAAGAAGGUUAAGACUUGUAUUGUGCCAUAUAAGCACAUGGAAAUGUUUAUCACAGUUUACAAAGGCAAUCAUUUAAAAAAAAAAAAA